GACAGCACCAUCUUCUCCCUCUGUGACAUGGGCCCAGGUCUGUGAGGCACCAUGCAGGUGGCCUGCAGAGUCAGCUUGGGACUACAUGUUGGCUUGGGGGCAGUCACAUCCCUGUGGAGUGUGCUCUGGCCAGGGCAGACAGCUGAGGAGUGACUACUCAUCAGUGACCACACAGGUUCGGGCAGGGGCACUUGAACUGCCAUGAUUCUGAAAGAGGCACAAGGAUGCGAAGGACCUGGCAGCUCAGAGAUGAGCACUUAGAAGAAGUUCAUACUUCUCUUUCCACCAAGGAAGUUAACAGUGAGAAUGAAGACUGAUUCAAAGUCUGAGUCCCCUUGGCACCUGGCUCAGAAUAACAGGAAAAUAGCGUGAUUUAAAGACACAAAGAAAUCAAGUGUCAUUUCAUAAUCUUCUCUGCAUAUUUAUGAAGAGAGAACUGGAUUAAUCCUUAAUUUAAGCCAUUAAACAAAAUUAAUCAAAUC
rnacentral:lncRNA from 1 species